GGGCCCGCACAAGCGGUGGAGCAUGUGGUUUAAUUCGAUGAUACGCGAGGAACCUUACCAGGGCUUAAAUGUAGUGGGACAGGUCUAGAGAUAGACCCUUCUUCGGACUCAUUACAAGGUGCUGCAUGGUUGUCGUCAGCUCGUGCCGUGAGGUGUCAGGUUAAGUCCUAUAACGAGCGCAACCCCUAUCGUUAGUUGCCAGCGGGUCAUGCCGGGAACUCUAGCGAAACUGCCGGUGCAAACCGAGAGGAAGGUGGGGACGACGUCAAAUCAUCACGGCCCUUACGUCCUGGCCACACACGUGCUACAAUGGUAGGUACAGAGGGACGCCAACCCGCGAGGGGGAGCCAA
rnacentral:rRNA from 1 species